AAGCGCGCGUAGGCGGAUCAGAAAGUUGGGGGUGGAAAUCCCAGGGCUCAACCCUGGAACUGCCUCCAAAACUCCUGGUCUUGAGUUCGAGAGAGGUGAGUGGAAUUCCGAGUGUAGAGGUGAAAUUCGUAGAUAUUCGGAGGAACACCAGUGGCGAAGGCGGCUCACUGGCUCGAUACUGACGCUGAGGUGCGAAAGCGUGGGGAGCAAACAGGAUUAGAUACCCCGGU
rnacentral:rRNA from 1 species